AUGAACGCUGGCGGCGUGCCUAAUACAUGCAAGUCGAGCGAACAGACGAGGAGCUUGCUCCUCUGACGUUAGCGGCGGACGGGUGAGUAACACGUGGAUAACCUACCUAUAAGACUGGGAUAACUUCGGGAAACCGGAGCUAAUACCGGAUAAUAUAUUGAACCGCAUGGUUCAAUAGUGAAAGACGGUUUUGCUGUCACUUAUAGAUGGAUCCGCGCCGCAUUAGCUAGUUGGUAUGGUAACGGCUUACCAAGGCAACGAUGCGUAGCCGACCUGAGAGGGUGAUCGGCCACACUGGAACUGAGACACGGUCCAGACUCCUACGGGAGGCAGCAGUAGGGAAUCUUCCGCAAAGGGCGAAAGCCUGACGGAGCAACGCCGCGUGAGUGAUGAAGGUCUUCGGAUCGUAAAACUCUGUUAUUAGGGAAGAACAAAUGUGUAAGUAACUAUGCACGUCUUGACGGUACCUAAUCAGAAAGCCACGGCUAACUACGUG
rnacentral:rRNA from 1 species